rnacentral:rRNA from 1 species
AGGAGAGUUUGAUCCUGGCUCAGGAUGAACGCUAGCGACAGGCCUAACACAUGCAAGUCGAGCGGCAGCACCUCGGGUGGCGAGCGGCGCACGGGUGAGUAACGCGUAUGUAACCUGCCCAUGAGUGGGGGAUAGCCCGGUGAAAACCGGAUUAAUACCCCAUGACACCAUUGUCUGACAUCAUUUAAUGGUUAAAGAUUCAUUGCUCAUGGAUGGACAUGCGUUGGAUUAGCUAGUCGGCGGGGCAACGGCCCACCGAGGCUACGAUCCAUAGGGGUUCUGAGAGGAAGGUCCCCCACAUUGGUACUGAGACGCGGACCAAACUCCUACGGGAGGCAGCAGUGAGGAAUAUUGGUCAAUGGGCGGAAGCCUGAACCAGCCAAGUCGCGUGAAGGAUGAAGGUAUUAUGUAUUGUAAACUUCUUUAGCUGUGGAGAAAUAAGGGGCAUGCAUGCCCUGAUGCUAGUACACAGAGAAUAAGGAUCGGCUAACUCCGUGCCAGCAGCCGCGGUAAUACGGAGGAUCCGAGCGUUAUCCGGAUUCAUUGGGUUUAAAGGGUGCGCAGGCGGUGCCUUAAGUCAGCGGUAAAAUCGUGGGGCUCAACCCCAUCCCGCCGUUGAUACUGGGGCACUUGAUUACGGUCGAGGCAGGCGGAAUUCGUCGUGUAGCGGUGAAAUGCAUAGAUAUGACGAAGAACACCGAUUGCGUAGGCAGCCUACCAGGCCGUUAAUGACGCUCAUGCACGAAAGUGCGGGGAUCGAACAGGAUUAGAUACCCUGGUAGUCCCCU